rnacentral:rRNA from 20 species
AAACUUUCAACAACGGAUCUCUUGGUUCUGGCAUCGAUGAAGAACGCAGCGAAAUGCGAUAAGUAAUGUGAAUUGCAGAAUUCAGUGAACCAUCGAAUCUUUGAACGCACAUUGCGCCCGGCAGUAAUCUGCCGGGCAUGCCUGUCCGAGCGUCAUUU